CAAUGCAGGACGCAAACCAACAGGUAAAUUGGUUUUUUCACAGCACGUCACUUGAGUCGUCUGCCACAUACUCAGAAGACCUGGUAAAAACACGAUUAAGCAUCCAGGUUUGAGCUCCACCAGGUGAAUGACCUCUCUGUACAUGCGGAACUUCCAGUUGACCUGGGAUAGUGCAUGAGACUUGUGAAGAAUGUGCAAUUUCCUCACUUGUUUUUUAUGUCAAAUGCCUGAGUAAUUAUGUUCUUUUGCAUGCCCUUUCCUUUCAAGGAGAGACCUGAUGCUCCUGGCCUCAAAUCAG
rnacentral:misc_RNA from 1 species